GAUGAAGAACGCAGCGAAAUGCGAUACUUGGUGUGAAUUGCAGAAUCCCGUGAACCAUCGAGUCUUUGAACGCAAGUUGCGCCCGAAGCCAUUAGGCCGAGGGCACGCCUGCCUGGGUGUCACACACCGUUACCCUCGCGCCAACGUCCAUCGUUGGCCGCGGCGCGGGGCGUGCGCUGACCUCCCGCGAGCGGGGUCUCGUGGUUGGUUGAAAAUCGAGUGCAUGGUGUCGGGUGUACCAUGAUGGAUGGUGGUUGAGUGAUGAUGCUCGGGACCAAUCAUGGGUAACUCCACCAGAAUUGGGCUCGGUGACCCACAUGCGUCCCUUGGAUGCUCCCUAAGGAGACCUCAGGUCAGGCGGGGCUACCCGCUGAGUUUAAGCAUAUCAAUAAGCGGAGGA
rnacentral:misc_RNA from 1 species